GCAGACGACGGUUGACCGACGAGACUGAAGAAUUAAUGUAUCCAACACCCAGGAACAGCAUGGAAAGGACUGAAGAGAUGAAGUCAAAGCCUGCCCUGCUCGGACCACCUGACUGACAUCUGCUGGUCAUGUUGGAGUUUGACACAAUGCUGUAAAAUCCAGGACUGAAGAGAUGAAGUCAAAGCCUGCCCUGCUCGGACCACCUGACUGACAUCUGCUGGUCAUGUUGGAGUUUGACAUAAUGCUGUAAAAUCCAGGACUGAAGAGAUGAAGUCAAAGCCUGCCCUGCUUGGACCACCUGACUGACAUCUGCUGGUCAUGUUGGAGUUUGACACAAUGCUGUAAAAUCCAGGAGUGGAGAAAUGACGAGUGCAGAAGCUUGAUGAUGUCUUUAGAGCUCACAUGAAUCAGCUGGUCCUGAUGAAAGGAGUUAUCCAGUAACCGUGUGGGACGAUGUUUGAUGCAGGUGAAGAUAUUUCUCCACGGCUGUCUGAUGGUGCUUUAGAUUUUUCAACCAGACACUACUUGAAGUUUCUCCUUUUUCUUCAUUGUCUUUGUUCUCUGCAGAGUUAAUCUGAAAGUCGGAGAUGAGUUUUGAUAUGUUUGCACCACUGUGUGUAAAGGUUUAAAAGGAAGAAUAAACAAUGUUUUAAAGAUAUUUCAUUUGAUAUAACGAUGUUAACUGUCACAAAAAAGUGUCUUCUGUAAUCGUAAAGAUGGAACAAUAUUUGUGUCUGGGUUUUUGUGAUCACAAUACCAUUUCUGUUACUAGUGAAAAUAUUUUUUAACAUUUGAGGAAAGUGACCUUAAAAAAACAUGAAAUAAACUUAAUC